rnacentral:rRNA from 1 species
UACGUAGGGGGCUAGCGUUGUCCGGAAUCAUUGGGCGUAAAGCGCGUGUAGGCGGCCCGGUAAGUCCGCUGUGAAAGUCGGGGGCUCAACCCUCGGAUGCCGGUGGAUACUGUCGGGCUCGAGUACGGAAGAGGCGAGUGGAAUUCCUGGUGUAGCGGUGAAAUGCGCAGAUAUCAGGAGGAACACCGAUAGCGAAGGCAGCUUGCUGGGACGUUACUGACGCUGAGGCGCGAAAGCGUGGGGAGCAAACAGG